GAUGAACGCUGGCGGCGUGCCUAAUACAUGCAAGUCGAGCGAACGGACGAGAAGCUUGCUUCUCUGAUGUUAGCGGCGGACGGGUGAGUAACACGUGGAUAACCUACCUAUAAGACUGGGAUAACUUCGGGAAACCGGAGCUAAUACCGGAUGAUAUUUUGAACCGCAUGGUUCAAAAGUGAAAGACGGUCUUGCUGUCACUUAUAGAUGGGUCCGCGCUGCAUUAGCUAGUUGGUAAGGUAACGGCUUACCAAGGCAACGAUGCAUAGCCGACCUGAGAGGGUGGUCGGCCACACUGGAACUGAGACACGGUCCAGACUCCUACGGGAGGCAGCAGUAGGGAAUCUUCCGCAAAGGGCGAAAGCCUGACGGAGCAACGCCGCGUGAGUGAUGAAGGUCUUCGGAUCGUAAAACUCUGUUAUUAGGGAAGAACAUAUGUGUAAGUAACUGUGCACAUCUUGACGGUACCUAAUCAGAAAGCCACGGCUAACUACGUG
rnacentral:rRNA from 1 species